rnacentral:rRNA from 1 species
AACGAACGCUGGCGGCAUGCCUAACACAUGCAAGUCGAACGAGACCUUCGGGUCUAGUGGCGCACGGGUGCGUAACGCGUGGGAACCUGCCCUUAGGUUCGGAAUAACUCCCCGAAAGGGGUGCUAAUACCGGAUAAUGUCUUCGGACCAAAGAUUUAUCGCCUUUGGAUGGGCCCGCGUUGGAUUAGCUAGUUGGUAGGGUAAAAGCCUACCAAGGCGACGAUCCAUAGCUGGUCUGAGAGGAUGAUCAGCCACACUGGGACUGAGACACGGCCCAGACUCCUACGCGAGGCAGCAGUGGGGAAUAUUGGAAAAUGGGCGAAAGCCUGAUCCAGCAAUGCCGCGUGAGUGAUGAAGGCCUUAGGGUUGUAAAGCUCUUUUACCCGGGAUGAUAAUGACAGUACCGGGAGAAUAAGCGCCGGCUAACUCCGUG